rnacentral:rRNA from 1 species
UACGAACCGUACAAACGUUAUUCGGAAUCACUGGGCUUAAAGGGUGCGUAGGCGGCCAUGUAAGUGAGGUGUGAAAUCCCUCGGCUCAACCGAGGAACUGCGCUUCAUACUGCAUGGCUUGAGGGAGACAGGGGUAAGCGGAACUGAUGGUGGAGCGGUGAAAUGCGUUGAUAUCAUCAGGAACACCGGUGGCGAAAGCGGCUUACUGGGUCUCUUCUGACGCUGAGGUACGAAAGCCAGGGUAGCGAACGGG